UUGGAAGUGAUGAUUUUUUCCCCAGAUGAUCGAAGCUGAUUAUACUGAGCGCUAUUAUUUAGUUUAUCAUUCAUUUGAUAUUCCAAGCCAGAAUUCUGAUCCAC